UUAAAUAAAAUUAAUUUGUUUUUCCAUGCUAUAUGAUGAAAAAUUGUAAAAUUUUGAUCAUUCAAAAUUCUUUUUAACUAGUCAAAUGAAGAAUCAUAAUGAACACCAGCAGAAUUUUAUACAAGAUAAAGUUAGCUUAUAAGAUUCAGUAUAGAUUUUAUAAUAAGUAAGGGUAAAACAAAGUUAAGAAGAGUAUUUUUAGUUAUCACCGAGUUACUGAAUCAAAGAAAAAUUGAGAGCAACCAAAAGAAAAUCUGAGUUACUCAAUGGGUCACACUGUAUAAAUGUUCAGAUUAAUCUUUCAUGAGUAGUCAUCCAUUCUUUUACUUCUUGAUAUAUCACAUGGUCUAACUUGGAUACUUUUUGUUACUUUCAUCUCUGUAUAAAUGCCCAAACAUCUGUUUAAUAAUCCCAUUAAUUUGAACAAAUAAGACUAGCUCCCUAAGCACCCAUUGAGUUUGCAGUAUUUUCAUGUAGCAAUAGAAUCAAAUUUUAUAGUAAUUUCUUAUUUUUUAAAGUAAUUUGAUACGUGUUUAAUUACAUUGAUAUGAACUAAUCAAACGUAAGGUGAUUUAAGAAGAUGAAGGGAAAAAAAAGGAGUUUACGGAAGAAGAAGGAAAGAAGAGGAAGAAGAAAUGGUCAAAGAAGAUGAUGAAAAGAAGAAAGGACGAAGAAGAUGCAGUAUAAAAGAAAUGAAAGAAAGAUUUUUAUAUUGUUUAUUUUUUAUGUCUUGAAGUUUGUUCAGGGAAUUGUUUUGUAGGAUGAAGAAAACGUGCAAAUCCUUUUUUUUCUUUAAAUUUAUACCCGCAACAUUUUUAUUUUUUAAAACAGUAUUUAACCGGCUUGUAACCAGUUAAAUAUAAUUUAAUAAAAAAAAUUUAUUAUAUUAUAAUAAUUAUGAAUCGUUAUUUAAUCUAAUGACUCAUAAUAAUUACGGUAUUGAUGCGGUGAUUUUAAUCACGCCAUUAUAAAAUUUUCUUUUGAUGGCAGGUACGUAACGAUCAAGUUAUUAAAGCCGCGAUUGAGUGACGUGAGCCAGUAUCUCUCAGUAUAUGUACGGUGAAUUAAUUAAAGGACAAUGAAAUAGUACUAGGCUCUUUACAGUGUCACAAAUAGUCAACCUACCAUGCAGUGCUGUAUUUCAUACAGCGUUGGCAUGCAACUGGUACAACCGGUUUUUAACCAGUUAAUAUAAUAAAAAAUACAUUUUUAU
rnacentral:lncRNA from 1 species